rnacentral:rRNA from 1 species
GAUGAACGCUGGCGGCGUGCCUAAUACAUGCAAGUCGAGCGAACAGACGAGGAGCUUGCUCCUCUGACGUUAGCGGCGGACGGGUGAGUAACACGUGGAUAACCUACCUAUAAGACUGGGAUAACUUCGGGAAACCGGAGCUAAUACCGGAUAAUAUAUUGAACCGCAUGGUUCAAUAGUGAAAGACGGUUUUGCUGGCACUUAUAGAUGGAUCCGCGCCGCAUUAGCUAGUUGGUAAGGUAACGGCUUACCAAGGCAACGAUGCGUAGCCGACCUGAGAGGGUGAUCGGCCACACUGGAACUGAGACACGGUCCAGACUCCUACGGGAGGGAGCAGUAGGGAAUCUUCCGCAAUGGGCGAAAGCCUGACGGAGCAACGCCGCGUGAGUGAUGAAGGUCUUCGGAUCGUAAAACUCUGUUAUUAGGGAAGAACAAAUGUGUAAGUAACUAUGCACGUCUUGACGGUAACUAAUCAGAAAGCCACGGCUAACUACGUG